rnacentral:snRNA from 1 species
GGCUGAUCGCAGUGGCAGUAUCGUAGCCAAUGAGGUUUAUCCGAGGCGCAAUUAUUGCUAAUUGAAAACUUUUCCUAAAAGGCUGAUCAAUGCUGCACUUCAUUUUUCUGCAAAACUAUGGGUGGG